AAGUUUAAGUUUUUUACUUAAGUGCAACUAGACAAUAAAAAGAUAUAGUCUAUUCGCACGUGCGUGCGUGAAAGGUCUUAAAAAAGUAAAACCAAACUAUGUUAUUUACACAACAUUUUUUCUUAGAUAAGUAGCCAUUGCUACUAUGGCUUACUGUUGUGUAGUUUACUAAAGUGCAGUAGCCCGUCAAAAAAGUUUGAUGUGGGGCUUAUGCAUCCAACUCAAACUUUUUUUUUUAGAUUAUGUGAGUUUUGUGUGGUUAUGUUAUUUAUACCACUUAAGUGGAUUGAUUAUCACUUAUGGCAUUUAUACCACAUAUGCUCCACAUUUGGUUAUGAUACUUAAACCAUAUAUGAUCUACGCAAACCCAUAAAUCGAGUGUGGCUUUCAAAUGUGGCGCGCAUCAAUUUUUUAUGUCGGGAGGCCAUGAUUGUAAUCUAAUACUUUAUGAUCAUAAUUAGCUUUAUUUAUUUUACCUAAAAUUUGAACAAUAAACACAGAUUUUUAUUUUUAUUGAGCAAAAAAAAAAAAUUUUAACAACAUAAAUUCUCAAUCAGUAUUAUAACAAUCAAGUUUCUGUCUAAUUUUUUCAGGAUUAAUUACACAACUGUGAUAAAUCAUUUAAAAAAUAACAAAUUUGAUAUCCAGACUAUUGAUGUCAUAAUAUGAUGAACGUUUCUUGGAAAUGAGUAAAUAUUUAACGCUUCAGUUUUUAUCUUAACUAUGACGCGCAUCGCCCCAUUUAAAAAAAAAAAUCAAAAGUAGUUGUCUAAAAAGCAGUUUAAUUUUUUUUGAUAUCAUUGUUUUAAAAACAACAAUUCAUAUCAUUUUAGGUACAAAAACCAGACUAGAAUGAGAUCUAUUGUAUGUUUCAUUUUUGUAUCUAUUUUUUUGGUUGCUUUAAUGCCUUCCGAUA